CGAUAAAACCGAGCGGUUGAGCGCCUGACUUGUAAUCAGGCGGUCGGGGGUUCAAUUCCCUCCUG
rnacentral:tRNA from 1 species